rnacentral:rRNA from 1 species
AAUAGAUACCCCGGUAGUCCACGCCGUAAACGAUGAGUGCUAAGUGUUGGGGGGUUUCCGCCCCUCAGUGCUGCAGCUAACGCAUUAAGCACUCCGCCUGGGGAGUACGGUCGCAAGACUGAAACUCAAAGGAAUUGACGGGGGCCCGCACAAGCGGUGGAGCAUGUGGUUUAAUUCGGAGCAACGCGAAGAACCUUACCAGGUCUUGACAUCCCGGUGACCACUAUGGAGACAUAGUUUCCCCUUCGGGGGCAACGGUGACAGGUGGUGCAUGGUUGUCGUCAGCUCGUGUCGUGAGAUGUUGGGUUAAGUCCCGCAACGAGCGCAACCCUUAUUCUUAGUUGCCAUCAUUCAGUUGGGCACUCUAAGGAGACUGCCGGUGAUAAACCGGAGGAAGGUGGGGAUGACGUCAAAUCAUCAUGCCCCUUAUGACCUGGGCUACACACGUGCUACAAUGGACGGUACAAACGGUUGCCAACCCGCGAGGGGGAGCUAAUCCGAUAAAACCGUUCUCAGUUCGGAUUGUAAGCUGCAACUCGCCUAC